UACGAAGGGGGCUAGCGUUGUUCGGAAUCACUGGGCGUAAAGCGCACGUAGGCGGAUGUGUCAGUCAGGGGUGAAAUCCCAGCUCAACUCCGGAACUGCCUCUGAUACAGCACGUCUUGAGUUCGGGAGAGGUGAGUGGAACUGCGAGUGUAGAGGUGAAAUUCGUAGAUAUUCGCAAGAACACCAGUGGCGAAGGCGGCUCACUGGCCCGAUACUGACGCUGAGGCACGAAAGCGUGGGGAGCAAACAGG
rnacentral:rRNA from 1 species